AGACCAGUGGUGCAGUGGUUAGCAUAUCGCUCUUAUAUGGAACUCGCCCCCAGCGGGUGAUUCCGUAUGAUGUGAUGCGAAGAUCGGCGGUUCGAUCCCGCCCUGGUCUA
rnacentral:tRNA from 1 species